rnacentral:rRNA from 1 species
UUCCUACGGGGGGCAGCAGUGAGGAAUAUUGGUCAAUGGCCGCAGGGCUGAACCAGCCAAGUCGCGUGAGGGAUGACGGUCCUAUGGAUUGUAAACCUCUUUUGUCAGGGAGCAAAGGGCGCCACGUGUGGCGCUUUGCGAGUACCUGAAGAAAAAGCAUCGGCUAACUCCGUGCCAGCAGCCGCGGUAAUACGUAGGUGGCGAGCGUUGUCCGGAAUUACUGGGUGUAAAGGGAGUGUAGGCGGGAAAGCAAGUCAGAAGUGAAAACUAUGGGCUUAACCCAUAGCCUGCUUUUGAAACUGUUU